AUCUGAAUCAUUAAGUGUGCGAAUUUCUAGUCACUAUGAAAUUUAGCAUACAAACAACAAAAACCAAGUAUUUCUGUGUACUUGCAAACUUCACAUUCAGAGUGCUGAAUACGCAAUGACCAUACCUGGAACUCUAUGGACGCUGAACUACGUCACUGUAGGCCAAGCGAAUGAUAUUUUGAGGUUUAGCUUUAGUCCAAUCACAUGUAAACUAGAGCGGGAUUGACGUGACAGAGGCGGCGACCAUUUGUUGAGUGACGUCUGUACUACCCAAUGAGAAUAUGCGAAGGGCGGGGCAUAUUCUGACUGAUGGUCGAAUGCAGCAAUCACAAUUUUAGUAAGAAACCCGUGUUAAACUAUAUAAAACAUUUUCGCGGUGUGCUCGCCCUUUGUGAUAAUGUCGGCAGAAUAUGAAGGGAGACCUAGAGACAAUGGCCCCGAGGGCAUGGAGCCAGAUGGAGUCAUUGAAAGUAACUGGCAGG